rfam:Lepisosteus oculatus linkage group LG9, whole genome shotgun sequence.
GUCAGCAGCCACAUCAACCUGCAACUCACAACUGGCAGCCCACUGAAGCUAAGCGGGUGUGAGCCUGGUCAGUACCUGCAUAGGAGAACUCCUGGGAAAAACUAAGGUUGCUGCUGGAA